rnacentral:rRNA from 1 species
GACGAACGCUGGCGGCGUGCUUAAUACAUGCAAGUCGAACGGAAAGGCACUGAUUUUGCGGGGUGCUCGAGUGGCGAAAGGGUGAGUAACACGUGAGUAUCCUGUCCUUGACUUCGGGAUAACUUCAGGAAACUGGGGAUAAUACCGGAUAGGAGCUCCUGCUGUAUGGUGGGGGUUGGUAAGUUUCGGCGGUUGGGGAUGGACUCGCGGCUUAUCAGCUUGUUGGUGGGGUAGUGGGUUACCAAGGCUUUGACGGGUAGCCGGCCUGCGAGGGUGACCGGCCACAUUGGGACUGAGAUACGACCCAGACGCCUACGGGAGGCAGCAGUGGGGAAUAUUGCACAAUGGGCGGAAGCCUGAUGCAGCAACGCCGCGUGCGGGAUGACUGCCGUCGGGUUGUAACCCGCUUUCGCCUGUGACGAAGCGUGAGUGACGGUAAUGUGUAAAGAAGCACCGGCUAACUACGUG